rnacentral:rRNA from 1 species
UACGUAGGGUGCAAGCGUUAAUCGGAAUUACUGGGCGUAAAGCGUGCGCAGGCGGUUUUGUAAGUCUGUCGUGAAAUCCCCCGGGCUCAACCUGGGAAUUGCGAUGGAGACUGCAAGGCUGGAAUCUGGCAGAGGGGGGGUAGAAUUCCACGUGUAGCAGUGAAAUGCGUAGAGAUGUGGAGGAACACCGAUGGCGAAGGCAGCCCCCCUGGGUCAAGAUUGACGCUCAUGCACGAAAGCGUGGGGAGCAAACAGG